rnacentral:tRNA from 1 species
GCGAGAGUGGUGAAAUUGGCAGACACGCCAGACUUAGGAUCUGGUGCUUUCAGCGUAGGGGUUCAAGUCCCCUCUCUCGCA